UACGUAGGCAGCAAGCGUUGUUCGGAAUUACUGGGCGUAAAGAGUGUGUAGGCGGUGCUACAAGGCUGGUGUGAAAUCUCCCGGCUUAACUGGGAGGGUGCAUUAGAAACUGGAAUGCUAGAGGAUGGGAGAGGUAAGCGGAAUUCCUGGUGUAGCGGUGAAAUGCGUAGAUAUCAGGAGGAACACCUGUGGUGUAGACAGCUUACUGGACCAUUUCUGACGCUGAGACACGAAAGCGUGGGUAGCAAACAGG
rnacentral:rRNA from 1 species